GUCCAGCUCUGUGACACUGAAGGUCACCAGUUCCCUUGCUGGCUUCGACUGAAUGAUUCCCCUGUGAAGUCCCUUGUUUACUGUAUUUGUAAUUAGCCACCAAGAACUUGAGUAACCGGUUUCCGAGGAGAACAUAUAUCCUGAAUCAGUUCCUGGACAUUUGUUUGAGGUCUUGUAAGGGAAACUGAAGGGAAUUGUGUAUUGAACAGGAUGGCUUAGACCUGCUCAACUUCUGAGAAUUGAGGCAAAGUGGGCAAUCCAGAUGUAUCACUUGACUUUCUGACUACUGGAAGAAUUUCCCUUCAUUAUUGCACACCAGGGGUAUCCCACAGAUGAUGAAGAGCCAAGGAGCCUAUCAGGAAGGCAAUGAAGAGACUGGCAAAGGCAAGAAGGUACUAUCACUGCUAGAGAGAUCCAGGGGGAAGGCUGUGUGACCAGAGUCAAGGAACAGGAACAUCUGGAGAAAGCCUGCCCAAACAAGAGCUGAAGCCGUGUGGAGGAGACGCAGCAGCUACCACUGCAAAUGCUACUCGAGGCAGAGAGACGGAGGAGGUGGAAUGUGGCCUGUUUCCUCCUUGGGCCCUUCGGUUUUCCACAGUGUCUUUCACUGGCCUUCUUGAAAUCCAGGAAACAAGAGAGCUGGAAAAUAUUGGUCUCUGAGUUAUAGCACAGGGCAGAGAAGGGCAGAAAAUGCACCUGAAAGAAAACAGAGAGAAGAGAUCAAAAGAAGGAUGAUCCCCACACAGAUGUGCAAGUGACUAAUUCAGUCCAGAAGGAAACCAGGCCCCCCUCACAGUGUUGAGAGAAGACAGCACCAGCCAGCCUUGUAGCCUGAGAAGCUGUCUCCUCACCAGCUUUCUCCUCACCAACUCUUCAAAGAUCCAGUUGAUACAAAAUGCACAUGCUAAAAUAUGAUUCCCCAGUCCUGUCCAAGCUGAUGUGGUCUUCUCCAAGCCCCCAGUCCUGACCAAGCUGAAUCUCCUUUGUCACUCAUGGGGCAACAGGGACUUACCUGCCAGUGCAGGAGAAAGGAGAGAUCCUUUAGAACAGGAGCUAAGAUGCCAGGAGCUCACGCAAAAUGCUUGAAGAAAGGGGCUUAGCCAGAAACCGAACUGGGAGUUGAUGCCCAGUUUAGGAAGAGUUCAAAUCGAGGAGUCAGAAGCAGCAAAUUCUACAUCAGAUCCACAAAUUCUUAACUAGAAGAAUAAAAACAAGUCAAAUCAAGUUGGGCUCAAAAGGAAUAUAGGGGCAGAAGAGGUGAUGUGCAGAUGGGUGUGCCUGGCCAAAUGGUGGGGGUAGGCACAGGCAGCACACACCAUUGAUUUCUUUGCUUCCUUUUUUAAAGAUUUUAUUUUUAAGAGCAGUUUCAGGUUCAAAGCAAAGUUAGAAGUACCAAGAUUUUUUCCAUAUACCCCUGUCCCUACAUAUGCAUAGCCCCCUCAUUAUCAAAAUCCCCUAUCAGAGUGUAAUAAAUGACAAUGAACCUACGUUGGACGCAUCAUAAUCACGUAAAGUCCUGGUGUACAUUAGCUUUCACUCUUGGUGUUGUACAUUCUAUGAAUUCGGACAAAUGUGUAAUGGCAUGUGUCCACUGUUAUGGUAUCAUACAGAGCACUUUCACUGCCACAAAAAUUUUCUGCUCUCUGCCUAUAGUUGGGGAUCAGAAACCAAUACCCCAAAAUAUGGCAUUUUGACAUGCUGAACUGAAGAAGCUUUAAUGUCUCUCUGACCUUCCUUCUUCUGCCCCACCUUCUUUCCCAAAACCUAGGAUUAUCUUGUUCCCUUAUCUGCUUAAAGUCCGAACCUGCCAAAGAAGAAAACAAUGACCUCUGCACCCUUCCCUGAGUUUCCAUUAACUGAACCUAGAUUCCAGGAAGAAAGAUUGAAGUCUGUCAACACACCUGGACAGACUUUUAUCACAAACCAUUGUCCACUCUGCUAACCCAACAGAUUUUGUCCCAGACAACUGUAUUCUCUUCAAGCCCAUUGAAUUCUCCCUAGGAAUCAUGCAUUGCCCCUCAACAGAAUUCCUCUUGUCCCUACUCACAUAGUUUGCUUUGCCGGGAUCCUAAGAUUUCUUGGAAAACCUUAGGACCAGGAGGUAUUCUUGUGGACUCAUUCUGUUUUUCUGUAACCUCAAGAUGGUGUAUAAGCUUCUGCCCCCUAAUCGGGGGUUGGAGUAAUCACUGUGUCUCCUGUGUGAAAGUAAACACAUUUGUAUGCCCUUUUCCCAAUUAAUCUACCUUCUGUGAGUUGAUUUUUUAGCGAAACUUCAGAGGGCUCUUUGACUCCUACACUAUUUAUCCCUCCCCCUCCCUUCAGCCCCUAACAACCACUGAUCUUCUUACUGCCUCCACAGUUUUACCUUUUCCAGAAGGUCAUAUAGUUGAAAUAUUACAGUCCGUUACCUUUUCAGAUUAGCUUCUGUCACUUAGUAAUAUAUAUUUAAGAUUCCUCCAUGUCUUUUCAUGGCUUGAUAGUUCAUUUCUUUUCAGUAUUAAAUGAUAUUCCAUUGUUUGAUGUACCACAAUUUAUCCCUUACCUACUGAAGGAAUACCUGGUUGUUUCCAAGAUUUACCUGGCCACCUAUGGAAUACUGUAGUUUCCAAAACUGGCCAUAAGAUAUUUCCUACUAUUCUUGCAUAUUGCAGUUGCAUAAGAAUUGCGUCCUAAGAUUUUCCAGAAAUUUGGCACUUCUCCAUCAAGACAUGGAUUCUACUUCCUCUUCCCUUAAGUCUAGGCAGAUUUGUGACUGGUAACCACAGAGCAUGGUAGAAAUUACACGGAGUGAUUUCUGAGGUUAUAAAUGAUGAAGCUCAUCUACCUCACAGGAACAUAGGCAUUGAGUCCUGAGCCACCAAGCAAGUGUCCAACUACUCUGAAACUGCCAUGUGUUAAGUGAAAAGAUAGCAAGGGGAAGCACUGAAGCUGCAUCGUGAGCGAGAGAUGCCCAGCCACCAGGCAGCUGCUCCACCCACCUCACCCUCAGCCUACUUUCCUCCACCCUCAACCUUGUACUUUUGUUGCUCCAACCACUGUCUGGUUACAAUCAGAGGAGAGAUUCCAAGACAGUAGCACCCAGCUAAACCCUUCCUGAAUUCGCAACUCACAAAAGUUAUAAAAGACAAUAAAAUGACUGUUCUUUAAGUUAUAUGUUUUGAAGUGAAUUAUUAUUCAGCAACAAAUAACCCAUAACAUCAUCCUUUUUUCCUCACCUCCACUUCCCAGUUUUGCCUCCAGUCUGAGUACUUAAAGUUAGGCCUACAAAUCCAGUCCUUUCCCUUCAAAGGAAACUUAUUAUAAACUGAGGCAUCCAGAAAAAGGCUGUCAUGAGGUUUUAAUGUCAUUCUCUGCUCUCUUCAUU
rnacentral:lncRNA from 1 species